UACGGAGGAUCCGAGCGUUAUCCGGAUUUAUUGGGCUUAAAGGGUGCGCAGGCGGGAGAUUAAGUCGGCGGUGAAAUUUUGCAGCUCAACUGUAAAAGUGCCUUCGAAACUGGUUUCCUUGAGUGUAGAUGAAGUAGGCGGAAUUUGUGGUGUAGCGGUGAAAUGCAUAGAUAUCACGAGGAACUCCGAUUGCGCAGGCAGCUUACUAAACUACUACUGACGCUCAGGCACGAAGGCGUGGGGAUCAAACAGGAUUAGAUACCCGCGUA
rnacentral:rRNA from 1 species